AAUGAUAUAUUCUAUAGAACAUGCUGUACACAAUAAUCUAUAAAAUGUUAUACAGAAUGUGAUUUUAUGUAAUAAUUAAGGCAAUUUAAAAUAUAGCAAUUUUAGUACACGAUUGAUAUUGGUCGAGAAAUGUGUUUUCAUCUGUCUAGAAACACAAAAGUUGAAUAGCAUCAUAUUCGUAUUUUGUGUGAGGUCCUCUCGACAUACUUUUUAAAUCUUAAUGUUAAAAUUUUCCGCAAAAAUCAUUCGUUUUGUAAAGACAAAUCACAAGUAUUUUAGACAUAUCUGUUUCAUAAUAUGCCUGUUCGCAGGUUAGAUGGCGGGCGUUUUGCCGAAACAAGGCCGCAAAGUUAUGUGGGACUUGUGUAACUGACACGCAUAACGCAUAAUUUUCAAAUUGUGAGCGCGUCUUUGUCAUUCGUUCAACGUUUUAUAACUGAUACUGGUAGAAUUUAGCGAGUUUUUCUUUCGUAUUUGAACAUGAAAUACGCAGUACUUGAAUUUGUCGAUGAGGAGUAUAGAAGGUUGGUGAAACGCGCUGGAUUAUGUGAGAAGAAUCAGAAGAUUCGGAUAAUUUUGUGAAUGGUACAUGACUAUAGACUAGGAUCGUGAGAAAGAAAUUGUGUCAAGGCCAUCAGAAAAUUUCUGAAAGGUUCCAUUGACCCAUCUACAAUUUCAACAAUAACAUGUGAAGCUAAAGUAUUGGAAUUAAGUGGUGCCCUUAUGUCCCAGUGUCUCAAUAACAAAGACUCAACAGAAGGUUUUAAAAGGAAAAGGCAAUUAAAUUUAAAGGAUUUUGUGUACUCAAUAUUAUGGGUAUAUUGUGGAGCCGGGAGGUUCUGUCCACACACUCCAUGACAGGAAAGAUCUCCAAUGCAUUAAAGGAGAAGGAUGCCAAGCCACAACUUGACAAGGAAAAAGUCAAUGGCAUAUGUGAGUAUACUUCAAAAAGAUAUGGUUGUCCUGCAUCUGAAGUACGUGUGACAAGUAAUGCUAAGAAAAUGCUAAAAAGAAGUCCUGCGAAAAAUAAUGAACUGAGCUACUUAUACUUGUACUGAUACAUAUAUGCCAAUAUUUCUAAUAUAUAUCUUUUUAUUCUUGAAGUCAUUUUCAUCAUUGAUGUUUUCUCAUGGCUAGACAUAAUAUAUUGGUAAUAUUGCACAGAAGAGUGAAUAGCACAUCUUAAUUGUGUAAUAUUGCAAUUGCAUGUUCUGUAGAAUAUGCUACUGUAUGUAGCAUAUCCUAUAGCAUUCUAUAGCAUCUUCUAUAGCAUCUUCUAUAGAAUCUUCUAUAGGAUCUUCUAUAGAAUCUUCUAUAGCAUCUUCUAUAGCAUCUUCUAUAGAAUCUUCUAUUGAAUGUUCCAUAGAAUAUCCUAUAGAAUAUUCUAUAGAAUUAGUGCCAAAAUCUUU